UAUUUGGCUUUUUUAAAAGCCAUCCAUAGUUUCAGAUGUUGAGGU
rfam:Pongo abelii chromosome 11.